AUCUUGCUGGAGAUCCCUGUGUACCUGAGGCCUUCCAAAGGUUCCAGCUUUUCAAGAACUGACUGUAUGGAAUGAUCCUGCAGCCCUGGCACAGACUUCUAGCGGCAAACUGCAGUAAGCCACAUCUUUGCUCCCUUCAUGCAGUCACUGAAUGGACAGGAAGCAUUGCAGAUGACCCUGAAGGAGGUCUGUGGAACUCCUGAAGAACACAGUUUGCACUCUAUUUUGCCAGCAUCAGUGUUCAGUGUGUAUGCUUUCUCAUUGCAGAGGCUAUAAUGUUGGUGUUCCAUUGGGUUCUGAUGGUCUCCAGAAUCAAAAAAUAGGGUUCAGGAAGGAGACAUCUUGCUAUUCCUUGCCAGCUUACCUUGACCAAAAAGUAGGGCUUUGUGUCUUCCUGUUCCUCCUUCUUAAAUGUGAAUGUACUAAGCAAAAAGUACCGAAUCAAAGAGUUUAAAUACAGCACGUAAUUCAGAGAAAAUGAGAUGAGAGAUUACUGUACACCAGACAAAGCUGGUAGUAUUGAAUAAUUAUGUAUAUUGUUGCAGGAAAUGUAUGAAAUUUAAUUCUAGGUUUCAUGCAAGCUUUAAAGCUCUGAGUAGGUUUUAUUUUCAAAUAGAAAUGAUUAAAUAUAAUUUUUCAAUACUUUUACAUGAUUAAUGUAACAAGCUGAUCUUUCUUUGAGUACAUCAUAAAUACCAUCUACACUGGUGUGCUAUAUAUGGAGAGUUUUAUUGCUACAGCACUUUAUGAAAUUAUUCUUUGGGAAAUUAUAGAUAGUCAAUGAAUAAUUCAAGGGAACGAAUAAAAGAAAAUCUAAUAAACUCUGCGUAUGAUUGAACUUUGACAUUAUUACAGUGAUGCGUAUACACAAACCUCACUGCUAUUCUGGAAAAGAGACUCAAGUAGAGCUUGAUUUUUAUAAGAAAAGAUGUUUUCACUCUUAUCCUGUCUGAGAAGAAAAGUGACAUGUUUUUUCUAAUUGGUAACCUGAACACAAUCAUACUUUAUUUUUUCAAAAAAAAGUGAAGAGCAGAAG
ensembl:lncRNA